UUUCUUGCUUAGGUGGCAUCUAUGUUGCUAUCUAUGUUACUCCCAUUGUGGGUAGUCUAAGGGUGUGCAACAGGGAUUCCUUCACGAAAAAAGGAUGUUACGGCUGGGAACCCAAAUCUGCAUCAGGGGUCUCCUCUAGCAUGAUUUCCAGUCCGAGUUCCUCCGGUAGCCCCUUGUAUGCAGCUACAUCUCCAUUGGCCAUGUCUUGCUCCAGCCUUGAUCUCCCUCCCUUUUUGUUCCGUCCCUUCAUCUCACUCCUAUCCGUGAUCUCCAUUGAAGGAUGCCAGAUCGUCACACAUCGAAGAUCCAGUAUGCAGCCACAAAAGAGUCCCGGUAAAGCCAUUUAAUCUCCUAACUAUCUUCGGGUAAGGUCAGGCGGUUUUGUUCAUGUGGAUUCCACAGCCCAUGACACGACCCCAAGAACAGCCGACUCCUAAAGACCGAAUAUCAUGAGGUUCUUGGACGACCAAGACCCGUUGGUGCGAACUUAUUAUGGUAUGGAUAAUCUAAAUCUCGCGUACUCGAUUCCACCUUCCGCAUCGUUCAUACCAAUUCACAUGUUUAGUAUUGUAUCAUAUUUAGAAAUUAUUUAAGUAUACAAUUAUGAAUUAGUUUUGUUGAUGUUGUAGAUUCAUCUUUGUGAUUGUUAGACUAAAGAUUUGAUUUGAUUACAAAAAGUAAAAUAUUGCAGGUAAGGUUUUCUUACUGUGAUUUAAAUGGUCCACUUUGAUAUAGCAUUGGUUUUUGUUUUGUGUUACAAUUCUAAAUUCGUAACUGAAGGUUCAUGUAUAGACGUACAUUUUUACCAUACUGCAUUAUAUUAUAGUGACAAAGAUUUUUCAGUGUAACCAUCUCAACGACUGACCAUCACGAUCAUCAAGAUUAUAGAUCAAGAUACAUGACUCUUUCACCAGUCAUCACUAAAUCAGUUAUAUCUUUGUCUCCAAAUGGUUGCAACUUUUUUGACCUACAAAUCAUAUGUUCGUGAUGGAAAUUUAUCUUUCAAUGAUGUAUUGUAGCUAAAGGUGUAAAUUGAGGAUGUAACUUCAUGUUUGACACUAUCAUAAAUCUUGGGAACCUUCAGAUUUUCUUAGCGAAUUGCAUUGUUAAUGGCGACAUUUAUCUAUAAGUUACCUUCAUAAUUAAUUUUGGCUCAUUUUAAGAUUUUUUUUCUACAACAAGAAUUUAAAAGUCGUGAAGAGAUGUUGCUGAACUUACUGCAUUUGGCAUCUCCCUGAUCAUCAUUAAAGGAGAAGAAGAGGCUAAGGUAACCUCUUAGUGGCAAAAAUUUGGUUCAUUUCUAUAAGAAAUGAAAUUCACAGUUAAUUUUAAUGUCUGCAAUAUAUCACUUUUGUGACCUCCAAUUUCUUUUGUUUUUGUAUGCAGCCUACAAUUGAUCAUACCUAUUGUGUUGUUUAAACAUAUUUUCAUCUGUCACUAACCAUUAUGUGUUUUUCCUUGAUGGUUAAUGUAGGUCAUAUGUAAUCCUUUAGACCAUUAAAUCAGGCUAUUAAUGUUUAUUUCCUGCAAAAAAGAGAAGUUAUGUUCAUGUAUACACUUAUUUGGUUAAUUUAUAACAAUGGACAUCUGACACUCGACACAUCUUUUCACCUAUAUAGGUUAAGGAGAUGUAUCUUCAUGAUGUACCAUCCUUUUCCAUACCUCGAGCCUUCUGAAGUCUACCAAAAUACAACCUUUGUCAUAGUUUAUUUCAAUAAAAUUUACUCUUACAACUUUCCAGAGCAACGCGCGGGAUGUCAUCUAGUUGACAAGUUCUAGAAAUUACCAGAAGUGGUUUUGAGGGGAUUUGGACAAGUGGAUUUUUUCUCCUUGAUGCACCACUUGGUGGAGAUGCAUUAUUAGGGGGUCAGAAAAAGUCCACAAAAUUUGAGAAUAAAUAGAGACACUUGCGAAUGUAAAGCUGCUCAAAUUUGGUAUUGGACAAAGAGGGUUUUGGAAUAUUUUUAUGGACCAAAACAAUUUGUAUUGACAUGAAACUUGGCAAGAUCAUCACAUAUAUCAUGUGUGAUCUCCUAGAAGUUUAUUGGAAUUAUUUGACAAUAUUUUUUA
rnacentral:lncRNA from 1 species